rnacentral:tRNA from 1 species
AUAUAAGAAUUAAUAAAUUAAAAUUAGUUUCGACCUAAUCCUAGAUAUAAAUUAUAUCCUUAUAUA